UACGUGAGGGGGCAAGCGUUGUCCGGAUUUAUUGGGCGUAAAGAGCGUGUAGGCGGUUUGGUAGGUCCGUUGUGAAAACUCGAGGCUCAACCUCGAGACGCCGAUGGAAACCAUCAGACUAGAGUCCGGAAGAGGUGAGUGGAAUUCCCGAGUGUAGCGGUGAAAUGCGUAGAUAUUGGAGGAACACCAGUGGCGAAGGCGGACUCACUGGACCGGUUCUGACGCUGAGGCGCGAAAGCGUGGGGAGCAACGGG
rnacentral:rRNA from 1 species